AUGUUCCAUGACAAGGAAAGCAUGACCCCUCUUCUCGAGUUUCUUCGAGUUCACCACUACAAUGGAAAGUCAAUGAUGCUGAAUGAUAGAAUUCAGAAUUUGUAUACUCUCCAAAAAGUCCUGAGGAAGGCCGAGGAAUACCUCACCACCCUUUCGCCAGAAACUUCAUACUCCUCAUUUGAGCACAAGUUCCAAGAAAUUGGCUUGGAGAGAGGUUGGGGUGACACCGCAGAGCGUGUUCUAGAGAUGAUCUGCAUGCUCCUGGAUCUCCUUGAGGCUCCUGACUCAUGUACUCUUGAGAAG
rnacentral:misc_RNA from 1 species